CACACAGGGCACUGCUAGCCGGUGCACGACCCUCAAGGCUCUGGUCCAGAGACGCUCCAUGAGAAAAGCUUGAAAGUUCCACUACAAGAGGGAAAAGCAACGCAGUAUCUAUAUAGAGAGACGAGUGUGUCCGCAGAAGAAACGGCUGGGAGAGAUCAACGCAGUUUUCUCUUGGGAACAAGCCUUGCGGUGUGGAUGUAGACUUCCUGAUCCUGCCUGCCUGAUGACAUGGCCAUGUCGUGGCACAUCCGGUCAUCCUCAGCUGAAGACGUGAGAGACUCCUGAAGAAGGCUCAUGGGUUUGCUCGUUGGUUCUUCUCCUCCGGUUUCCCCCCAUUCACCCUGGUGGAUCCAGCGGAGUGUGUAAAUUACAAGUCACCCCUGCCCCGUUAGAUAAGGCUGGUCUGCGUUCCUGAGGUUCUUUAG